CGGCGGACGGGUGAGUAACACGUGGGUAACCUACCUAUAAGACUGGGACAACUUCGGGAAACCGGAGCUAAUACCGGAUAAGAUAUCGAACCGCAUGGUUCGAUAGUGAAAGAUGGUUUUGCUAUCACUUAUAGAUGGACCCGCGCCGUAUUAGCUAGUUGGUGAGGUAACGGCUCACCAAGGCAACGAUACGUAGCCGACCUGAGAGGGUGAUCGGCCACACUGGAACUGAGACACGGUCCAGACUCCUACGGGAGGCAGCAGCA
rnacentral:rRNA from 1 species